rnacentral:rRNA from 1 species
UACGGAGGAUCCAAGCGUUAUCCGGAUUUAUUGGGUUUAAAGGGUGCGUAGGUGGCUUGUAAGUCAGUGGUGAAAUGUUUUUCAGCUUAACUGGAAAAUUGCCAUUGAUACUGCAGGCUUGAGUACAGAUGAGGUAGGCGGAAUGUGUCAUUGUAGCGGUGAAAUGCAUAGAUAUGACACAGAACACCGAUUGCGAAGGCAGCUUAC